CGCUCCGUGGUCUAGUGGUACGAUUCUCGCUUUGGGUGCGAGAGGUCCCGGGUUCAAGCCCCGGCGGAGCCC